UUAUGGCUCAGGAUGAACGCUGGCGGCGUGCCUAAUACAUGCAAGUCGAACGAGAGUGCUUGCACUCUAGUGGCGAACGGGUGAGUAACACGUAGGUAACCUGCCUUACAGUUUGGGAUACCCUGGCGAAAGCUAGGCUAAUACCGAAUAAUUGGAUUGGAGGCAUCUCCGAUCUCUAAAAGGGGCCUUUUAAAGCCUCGCUGAAUGAUGGACCUGCGGCGCAUUAGCUAGUUGGUGAGAUAACAGCCCACCAAGGCGAGGAUGCGUAGCCGACCUGAGAGGGUGAACGGCCACACUGGAACUGAGACACGGUCCAGACUCCUACGGGAGGCAGCAGUAGGGAGUUUUCGGCAAUGGGGGCAACCCUGACCGAGCAACGCCGCGUGAAUGAUGAAAAGGGUCUUCGGAUUGUAAAGUUCUGUUAUAAGGGAAAAAUGAUAUGGUGAGGAAAUGCUCCAUAUUUGAUGGUACCUUAUUAGAAAGCCACGGCUAACUACGUGCCAGCCGCUGC
rnacentral:rRNA from 1 species